AAAGAAGUUGUUAUUCUGGUAAGGAGGGAACUGCCAAGCAAAUAUAUUGUACCCAUCCCAGUUUGCAUUUCAGUAUAAUAUCAAAUACUUGGCUCUUUAUUUCUAUUAAAUAAACUCUUUUCUUUAUGUGAAACAGGUUCAACCAGAAGAACAACAACAUCAACCCACUGAAACCAUCUGCGAGCAACCAGUUCCACCUACUGGGAAUGUUGUCUCUCAAGACAACCCGGAGCAGAUUGUGGGGCUUGGAGAUAACACCUUCCAAGAACAAACAGAAGAUGAAACUGGCGUGGAUAUUCACCAGGAACCAGUUGCACCUACUAGUAAUGUUGUCGCUCAAGAACCCCCAGAGCAGAACAGACAACAAACUUACAUCUUUG